AUGGCACCUGAAUUCUAUGGCGGACCGAUCACAUACAAUUUUGAUAUUUAUAGUCUUGAUAUGAUAAUCAUAGAGAUAGUAACAGGAGAGAAGGGAUGUCCUAAUAUUGACAAGGUAACGUAUUUGGUUUCAAAGCGUGCUCUACGUUUGGAGGAUCUACGAAUUCCCCCUACUUAUUCAAAAACUUUCCAAGGCCCGCCUCAUGGUAUCCAAGUUGAAAGAGAUAACUUGAACAAGUAUGGUCGUCCUUUAUUGGGAUGUACUAUUAAACCAAAAUUAGGAUUAUCCGCAAAAAAUUAUGGUAGAGCGUUUAUGAGUGUCUACGUGGUGGACUUGAUUUUACCAAAGAUGAUGAAAACGUAA
rnacentral:rRNA from 1 species